rnacentral:rRNA from 1 species
CCUACGGGUGGCAGCAGUGAGGAAUAUUGGUCAAUGGACGGAAGCCUGAACCAGCCAUGCCGCGUGCAGGAAGACGGCUCUAUGAGUUGUAAACUGCUUUUGUACAAGGGUAAACCUGAAUACGUGUAUUCUGCUGAAAGUACUGUACGAAUAAGGAUCGGCUAACUCCGUGCCAGCAGCCGCGGUAAUACGGAGGAUCCAAGCGUUAUCCGGAUUUAUUGGGUUUAAAGGGUGCGGAGGCGGAUAGAUAAGUUAGAGGGGAAAUGUCCGAGCUUAACUCGGGAACUGCCUCUAAUACUGUUGAUCUGGAGAGUAGAUGAGGUAGGCGGAAUGUAUGGUGUAGCGGUGAAAUGCUUAGAGAUCAUACAGAACACCGAUUGCGAAGGCAGCUUACCAGGCUAUAUCUGACGUUGAGGCACGAAAGCGUGGGGAGCGAACAGGAUUAGAUACCCCAGUAGUC